rnacentral:rRNA from 1 species
AUGAACGCUGGCGGCGUGCCUAAUACAUGCAAGUCGAGCGAACAGACGAGGAGCUUGCUCCUCUGACGUUAGCGGCGGACGGGUGAGUAACACGUGGAUAACCUACCUAUAAGACUGGGAUAACUUCGGGAAACCGGAGCUAAUACCGGAUAAUAUAUUGAACCGCAUGGUUCAAUAGUGAAAGACGGUUUUGCUGUCACUUAUAGAUGGAUCCGCGCCGCAUUAGCUAGUUGGUAAGGUAACGGCUUACCAAGGCAACGAUGCGUAGCCGACCUGAGAGGGUGAUCGGCCACACUGGAACUGAGACACGGUCCAGACUCCUACGGGAGGCAGCAGUAGGGAAUCUUCAGCAAUGGGCGAAAGCCUGACGGAGCAACGCCGCGUGAGUGAUGAAGGUCUUCGGAUCGUAAAACUCUGUUAUUAGGGAAGAACAAAUGUGUAAGUAACUAUGCACGUCUUGACGGUACCUAAUCAGAAAACCACGGCUAACUACGUG